CCUACGGGAGGCAGCAGUGGAGAAUAUUGCACAAUGGGCGAAAGCCUGAUGCAGCGACGCCGCGUGAGGGAUGACGGCCUUCGGGUUGUAAACCUCUUUCAGCAGGGAAGAAGCGAGAGUGACGGUACCUGCAGAAGAAGCGCCGGCUAACUACGUGCCAGCAGCCGCGGUAAUACGUAGGGCGCAAGCGUUGUCCGGAAUUAUUGGGCGUAAAGAGCUCGUAGGCGGCUUGUCACGUCGGGUGUGAAAGCCCGGGGCUUAACCCCGGGUCUGCAUUCGAUACGGGCUAGCUAGAGUGUGGUAGGGGAGAUCGGAAUUCCUGGUGUAGCGGUGAAAUGCGCAGAUAUCAGGAGGAACACCGGUGGCGAAGGCGGAUCUCUGGGCCAUUACUGACGCUGAGGAGCGAAAGCGUGGGGAGCGAACAGGAUUAGAUACCCUGGUAGUCCACGCCGUAAACGGUGGGAACUAGGUGUUGGCGACAUUCCACGUCGUCGGUGCCGCAGCUAACGCAUUAAGUUCCCGCCUGGGGAGUACGGCCGCAAGGCAAACUUAAAUGAAUUGACGG
rnacentral:rRNA from 1 species